rnacentral:rRNA from 1 species
GGCAUGACCGCGAGUAUAACAUGCAGUCGAACGAUGAGCCCUUCGGGGUGGAUUAGUGGCGAACGGGUGAGUAACACGUGGGCAAUCUGCCCUUCACUCUGGGACAAGCCCUGGAAACGGGGUCUAAUACCGGAUACGACCUGCCGAGGCAUCUCGGCGGGUGGAAAGCUCCGGCGGUGAAGGAUGAGCCCGCGGCCUAUCAGCUUGUUGGUGGGGUAAUGGCCUACCAAGGCGACGACGGGUAGCCGGCCUGAGAGGGCGACCGGCCACACUGGGACUGAGACACGGCCCAGACUCAUACGGGAGGCAGCAGUGGGGAAUAUUGCACAAUGGGCGCAAGCCUGAUGCAGCGACGCCGCGUGAGGGAUGACGGCCUUCGGGUUGUAAACCUCUUUCAGCAGGGAAGAAGCGCAAGUGACGGUACCUGCAGAAGAAGCGCCGGCUAACUACGUGCCAGCAGCCGCGGUAAUACGUAGGGCGCAAGCGUUGUCCGGAAUUAUUGGGCGUAAAGAGCUCGUAGGCGGCUUGUCACGUCGGGUGUGAAAGCCCGGGGCUUAACCCCGGGUCUGCAUCCGAUACGGGCAGGCUAGAGUGUGGUAGGGGAGAUCGGAAUUCCUGGUGUAGCGGUGAAAUGCGCAGAUAUCAGGAGGAACACCGGUGGCGAAGGCGGAUCUCUGGGCCAUUACUGACGCUGAGGAGCGAAAGCGUGGGGAGCGAACAGGAUUAGAUACCCUGGUAGUCCACGCCGUAAACGUUGGGAACUAGGUGUUGGCGACAUUCCACGUCGUCGGUGCCGCAGCUAACGCAUUAAGUUCCCCGCCUGGGGAGUACGGCCGCAAGGCUAAAACUCAAAGGAAUUGACGGGGGCCCGCACAAGCAGCGGAGCAUGUGGCUUAAUUCGACGCAACGCGAAGAACCUUACCAAGGCUUGACAUAUACCGGAAAGCUUCAAAGAUGGUGCCCCCCUUGUGGUCGGAAUACAGGUGGGGGCAUGGCUGUCGUCAACUCGGGGCGUGGAAAUGUUGGGUUAAAUCCCCGCAACGAGCGCAACCCUUUGUCCUGGUGUUGCCACCAUUGCCCUUCGGGGGGGAUGGGGGACUCCACAGGAAACCGCCCGGGUCCAACUCCGGAGGAAAGGUGGGGGACAACAUUCCAU